AAACUCCAGAGCAGGCCCAAUUAUGCUGCCUGUGCUUGUUCCAACCAGACUUCCAAAGGAUGGUGCAACACCUUAGACAUCUCCUUUACUGACGCAGGGAAAAAAUUUAAUUGGGAAUAUACACGAGGAGCUGAGUGUGGUUUACGUGUCUAUAGAGAUGAAAAAGAUUUCGGAGUAACUUUCAAAAUCCAGUUACUUAAGAACACCCCAUCUUUAGGGUCGGCUGCUAUAAGCCCCAAUCUCAUUUUACAUUCCUCAUAUCCUAGAAAGCCGAGUCUUCCACAGACUGUUACCUUAGGUCCACCUGUGACUACUAUAUUCCAGCCUACUUUACCUGCUGGAUCUCCCUCCUCUGCAGAAUUGAUUUUAUCCUUAGUAAAUGCAUCAAUUGCUACUAUGCACCCAGCUAAUGCUACUCAAUAUAAAGAAUGUUGGGUGUGUUUUUCUCCUCAUUCUCCUUUCUACGAAGGGGUGGCAACAUUUGGAUCAGUUAUUGCAAUUAAUGAUUCCAGCAAACUUGGAUGGCACCCUGAAAGCCAUGAUGGGCUCACUAUAAGUCAGGUGUCUGGCAUAGGCUUAUGCCUUUUGGGGCCUUCCAUGCUUCCUCCUCAGACCUUAUUAGAGGGUUGCAAUCAGACUAUUAGGGUGGAUGCCACCUCUAGAUACCUUGGAGCACCUAAUGGUACUUAUUUAGCAUGUUUUACUGGACUUACUACAUAUAUAGUUACUCAGACCUUUUUAGAUGGCAGAGAUUAUUGUGUUGUAGUUCAGCUUCUCCCGAAGCUGACAGUACACCAUGAAGAAGAUCUCCUCCAAUUCUGGAAGUGUGACACAGAUCUAACCCGUGAUAAGAGAGAGCCUAUUUCUGCAGUAACCUUAGCAGUGAUCCUAGGCUUAGGAGCUGCAGGCACAGGAAUGGGCAUUACAUCUUUGGUCACUUCCCAACAGCAAUAUACUCAGCUUCACCUUGCUGUGGACAGAGAUAUACAAGAGCUACAGAGAGGCUUAAAAUUUUUUUAAAUUCCUUGGUCUCUCUGUCUGAAGUGGUAUUACAAAGCAGGCCAGGUCUUGACUUAGUGUUCCUUAAAGAAGGAGGGCUAUGUGCAGCCCUCAAAGAAGAAUGUUGUUUUAACUCUGACAAGACUGGCUUAGUUCAAGAUAGCAUAGACAAAGUUAGAGCUAGUUUGGAAGAGAGAAAACGAAACAGAGAGAAACAAGAAUAUUGGUAUAAAAAUUGGUUUUCUACUUCUCCUUGGGUCACCACCUUGCUUCCCACACUUUUGGGACCUUUUAUGGGUAUUUUGCUGCUUUUGUCUUUUGGCCCCUGGGCCUUUAAAAAAUGAACCAGUUUUGUUAAGUCACAGAUUGAAGCUGCUUUAAGUAAGCCGGUUGCAGUCCACUACCAUCAGCUGGAUAUCCAAGACUCAGACGAAGAAGAUCCUCCUCCCACCAAGGCAGAAACAACGACUCGUCUCCAAUUUUCCACCCUUGCUGCUAAUGCAGAGUUCCCUGGGUUCCUCAGGCUUUGGAGACAA
rnacentral:lncRNA from 1 species